rnacentral:rRNA from 1 species
AUUAGAGUUUGAUCAUGGCUCAGGAUGAACGCUGGCGGCGUGCAUAACACAUUCAAGUCGAACGGUGAAGCCCUUCGGGGCGGAACAGUGGCGGACGGGUGAGUAACGCGUGAGCAACCUGCCCUUGCGUGGGGGAUACCGUCUGGAAACGGACGUUAAUACCGCAUAACGUACAAUGAUCGCAUGGUCGAUGUACCAAAGAUUUAUUGCGCAAGGAUGGGCUCGCGUCCCAUUAGAUAGUUGGUGAGGUAACGGCUCACCAAGUCGACGAUGGGUAGCCGGACAGAGAGGUUGAACGGCCACAUUGGAACUGAGACACGGACCAGACUCCUACGGGAGGCAGCAGUGAGGAAUAUUGGACAAUGGGCGCAAGCCUGAUCCAGCCAUGCCGCGUGCAGGAUGACGGUCCUAUGGAUUGUAAACUGCUUUUAUACAGGAAGAAACACUCCGACGUGUCGGAGCUUGACGGUACUGUAAGAAUAAGGAUCGGCUAACUCCGUGCCAGCAGCCGCGGUAAUACGGAGGAUCCAAGCGUUAUCCGGAAUCAUUGGGUUUAAAGGGUCCGUAGGCGGUUUAAUAAGUCAGUGGUGAAAGCCCAUCGCUCAACGGUGAACGGGCCAUUGAUACUGUUAAACUUGAAUUAUUAGGAAGUAACUAGAAUAUGUAGUGUAGCGGUGAAAUGCUUAGAGAUUACAUGGAAUACCAAUUGCGAAGGCAGGUUACUACUAAUUGAUUGACGCUGAUGGACGAAAGCGUGGGUAGCGAACAGGAUUAGAUACCCUGGUAGUCCACGCCGUAAACGAUGGAUACUAGCUGUUGGAAGCAAUUUCAGUGGCUAAGCGAAAGUGAUAAGUAUCCCACCUGGGGGAGUACGUUCGCAAGAAUGAAACUCAAAGGAAUUGACGGGGGCCCGCACAAGCGGUGGAGCAUGUGGUUUAAUUCGAUGAUACGCGAGGAACCUUACCAAGGCUUAAAUGUAGAUUGACCGGUUUGGAAACAGAUCUUUCGCAAGACAAUUUACAAGGUGCUGCAUGGUUGUCGUCAGCUCGUGCCGUGAGGUGUCAGGUUAAGUCCUAUAACGAGCGCAACCCCUGUUGUUAGUUGCCAGCGAGUCAUGUCGGGAACUCUAACAAGACUGCCAGUGCAAACUGUGAGGAAGGUGGGGAUGACGUCAAAUCAUCACGGCCCUUACGCCUUGGGCUACACACGUGCUACAAUGGCCGGUACAGAGAGCAGCCACUGGGCGACCAGGAGCGAAUCUAUAAAACCGGUCACAGUUCGGAUCGGAGUCUGCAACUCGACUCCGUGAAGCUGGAAUCGCUAGUAAUCGGAUAUCAGCCAUGAUCCGGUGAAUACGUUCCCGGGCCUUGUACACACCGCCCGUCAAGCCAUGGAAGCUGGGGGUGCCUGAAGUCGGUGACCGCAAGGAGCUGCCUAGGGUAAAACUGGUAACUAGGGGUAAGUCGUAACAAGGUAACCAAU